UGGGGAAUAUUGGACAAUGGGCGAAAGCCUGAUCCAGCCAUGCCGCGUGUGUGAAGAAGGUCUUCGGAUUGUAAAGCACUUUAAGUUGGGAGGAAGGGCAGUAAGCGAAUACCUUGCUGUUUUGACGUUACCGACAGAAUAAGCACCGGCUAACUCUGUGCCAGCAGCCGCGGUAAUACAGAGGGUGCAAGCGUUAAUCGGAAUUACUGGGCGUAAAGCGCGCGUAGGUGGUUCGUUAAGUUGAAUGUAAAAGCCCCGGGCUCAACCUGGGAAAUGCAUCCAAAACUGGCGAGCUAGAGUAGGGCAGAGGGUGGUGGAAUUUCCUGUGUAGCGGUGAAAUGCGUAGAUAUAGGAAGGAACACCAGUGGCGAAGGCGACCACCUGGGCUCAUACUGACACUGAGGUGCGAAAGCGUGGGGAGCAAACAGG
rnacentral:rRNA from 1 species